GACGAACGCUGGCGGCGUGCCUAAUACAUGCAAGUCGAACGCAGUGGGGCCGGGUGAGUAACCCGUGGGUAACCUCCCAUCAGAGGGGAUAACACUUGGAAACAGGUGCUAAACCGAUACUGAUGGAUGAACCCGCGGUGCAUUAGCUAGUUUGUGAGGUACCGGCUCACCAAGGCCACGAUGCAUAGCAGACCGGAAGGUGUGAGCGGCAAAACUGGGACUGAGACACGGCCCAGACUCCUACGGGAGGCAGAAGUAGGGAAUCUUCGGCAAUGGACGAAAGUCUGACCGAGAAACGCCGCGUGAGUGAAGAAGGUGUGCGGAUCGUAAAACUCUGUUGUUAGAGAAGCGGUAUCUAACCAGAAAGCCACGGCUAACGACGUGCCAGCAGCCGCGGUAAUUC
rnacentral:rRNA from 1 species